UGGCACUAUUGAGAGGUGUGGUCUUACUG
rnacentral:piRNA from 1 species